AACGCACAUUGCGCCCUUUGGUCUUCCAUGGGGCAUGCCUGUUCGAGCGUCAUUCAACCCUUCAAGCCCCGCUUGGUGUUGGGCGUUUGUCCCGCCCGCGUGCUGUGGACUCGCCUUAAAACUAUCGGCGUCGACGUGCCGGCCUUGAGCGCAGCAGAAUAGUCGCUCCGGGGCCCGGCGCUGCGGCCUGCCGUAAAACGACCACCUAAUUUUUGACCUCGGAUCAGGUAGGGAUACCCGCUGAACUUAA
rnacentral:misc_RNA from 1 species